rnacentral:rRNA from 2 species
GGGGCUAAUACCGGAUAACAUUUUGAACCGCAUGGUUCGAAAUUGAAAGGCGGCUUCGGCUGUCACUUAUGGAUGGACCCGCGCAUUAGCAGUUGGUGAGGUAACGGCUCACCAAGGCAACGACGUAGCCGACCUGAGAGGGUGAUCGGCCACACUGGGACUGAGACACGGCCCAGACUCCURCGGGAGGCAGCAGUAGGGAAUCUUCCGCAAUGGACGAAUGACGCAACGCCGCGUGAGUGAUGAAGGCUUCGGGUCGUAAAACUCUGUUGUUAGGGAAGAACAAGUGCUAGUGAAUAAGCUGGCACCUGUACCUAACCAGAAAGCCACGGCUAACUACGUGCCAGCAGCCGCGGUAAUACUAGGUGGCAAGCGUUAUCCGGAAUUAUUGGGCGUAAGCGCGCGCAGGUGGUUUCUUAAGUCUGAUUGAAAGCCCACGGCUCAACCGUGGAGGGUCAUUGGAAACUGGGAGACUUGAGUGCAGAAGAGGAAAGUGGAAUUCGUAGCGGUGAAAUGCGUAGAGAUAUGGAGGAACACCAGUGGCGAAGGCUCUGGUCUGUAACUGACACUGAGGCGCGAAAGCGUGGGGAGCAAAAGGAUUAGAUACCCUGGUAGCCACGCCGUAAACGAWGAGUGSUAAGUGUUAGGGUUUCCGCCCUUUAGUGCUGAAGUUAGCAUAAG